rnacentral:lncRNA from 1 species
CACGUCUCUGCGUGCGCGUCACCGGGCCCGUUCCGCUGGCUCCUCAGGCCGUGCCCUCUCACUGCGCAGGCGCGACGUCACCUCGGCGCCAGCAGGGACUACCUCCCUUGUCUCCGGGCCCAGGGAAAGGCUACGGCUUCCCCAGUGGCCUUGGAGCAGGAUUUGGGAACGGGAAUGGGCUGGGAGCCCAGCCAGGCACUGGGGGGGGUGUGAAACCCCAGAAGCCAGGGUUUGGAAACGGGCUGGCAAUGGGGACCUUCCCAGGUGCUGUCGCCCAGCCAGGUUUUGGAGGGGGUGUGAGACCCCAGAAGCCAGGCCCUGUGGCUCAGAAUGGUGGCCAGGCACCAGGUACGGGCUGGGGGC